rnacentral:rRNA from 1 species
UUCUGGUUGAUCCCGCCGGACCUGACUGCUAUCGGAUUGAUACUAAGCCAUGCGAGUCUUUGCAGUAAUGCAAGGCAUACGGCUCAGUAACACGUAGUCAACUUACCCUAUGGACGAGGAUAAUCUCGGGAAACUGAGCAUAAUACUCGAUAGAUCAUAAUGCCUGGAAUGGUUUAUGGUUGAAAUGAUUCGUCGCCAUAGGAUGGGACUGCGGCCUAUCAGCUUGUUGGUGAGGUAAUGGCCCACCAAGGCGAUUACAGGUACGGGCUCUGAGAGGAGAAGCCCGGAGAUGGGUACUGAGACAAGGACCCAGGCCCUAUGGGGCGCAGCAGGCGAGAAAACUUUGCAAUGUGCGAAAGCACGACAAGGUUAAUCCGAGUGAUUUCUGCUAAAGAAAUCUUUUGCAAGUCAUAAAACCACUAGUGAAUAAGGGGUGGGCAAGUUCUGGUGACAGCCGCCGCGGUAAAACCAGCACCUCAAGUGGUCAGGAGGAUUAUUGGGCCUAAAGCAUCCGUAGCCGGCUCUGUAAGUUUUCGGUUAAAUCCAUGUGCUCAACGCAUGGGCUGCCGAAAAUACUGCAUAGCUAGGGAGUGGGAGAGGUAGACGGUACUCGGUAGGAAGGGGUAAAAUCCUUUGAUCUAUCGAUGACCACCUGUGGCGAAGGCGGUCUACCAGAACACGUUCGACGGUGAGGGAUGAAAGCUGGGGGAGCAAACCGGAUUAGAUACCCGGGUAGUCCCAGCUGUAAACGAUGCAGACUCGAUGAUGCAUUGGCAUAUAGCCAGUGCAGUGUCGCAGGGAAGCCGUUAAGUCUGCCGCCUGGGAAGUACGUACGCAAGUAUGAAACUUAAAGGAAUUGGCGGGG